rnacentral:rRNA from 1 species
UACAGAGGAGCCAAGCGUUGUCCGGAUUUACUGGGCUUAAAGGGUGUGUAGGCGGACUUUUAAGUCCGUGGUGAAAUCUCCGGGCUCAACCCGGAAACUGCCAUGGAUACUAUAGGUCUUGAAUAUUGUUGAGGUGGGCGGAACGGGUCAUGUAGCGGUGAAAUGCAUAGAUAUGACCCGGAACACCGAUUGCGAAGGCAGCCCACUAAGCAAUGAUUGACGCUGAGGCACGAAAGCGUGGGGAUCAAACAGG